rnacentral:rRNA from 1 species
GACAGAGGGUGCAAACGUUGUUCGGAAUCACUGGGCGUAAAGCGCACGCAGGCGGAUUGAUAAGUCAGGGGUGAAAUCCCGGGGCUCAACCCCGGAACUGCCCUUGAAACUGGAGAGCUAGAAUCUUGGAGAGGCGAGUGGAAUUCCGAGUGUAGAGGUGAAAUUCGUAGAUAUUCGGAAGAACACCAGUGGCGAAGGCGACUCGCUGGACAAGUAUUGACGCUGAGGUGCGAAAGCGUGGGGAGCAAACAGG